AUUCAGCUCUAAUUUCUGGUGAUUUUACUCGCUCUUCUCACCGGUUUCUCCUCCUUCCUCUCCUCAGCUCUAUUUUCAGGUGAUUUUACUCACUUUUCUCACUGGUUUCGCCUCCUUCCUCUCCUCAGCUCUAAUUUCAAGCGAUUUGCUUCCUCUUUUCUCAGCAGUUUCUCUUUCUUCCUCUCCUUUGCUCUAAUUUCAAGUGAUUUACUUUCUCUUUUCUCAGCAGUUUCUCUACCUUCCUCUCCUCAGCUUCUUAAAAGUGAUUUGCUCUAAUUUCAAGUGAUUUACACUUUCUUUUCUCGGCGGUUUCUCUGCCUUCCUCUCCUCAGCUUCUUAAAAUUGAAGUCACAACCAUAGAUUUUUUACAGCACCACUUCCACCAGUACCUUUGUUUCAUUCCUCUGCAAUCUUUAUAUAUAUAUAUAUAAACUAUAUCUGCCCAUCCAUCCAUCUACCACACCCUUCUCAUAAGGUUGUGUAUAUAGGCUUUCUUCAUCUGCUCAUUUGAGAUAGAUCUGAAAAAUAACCUUUUCCUUUCAUAUACAGCAUCGACCAUCCAACCGUACUCAAUAGCAAAGAUUAAAAGCUCAUUUUCCCUCCUAAGGACACAUGCUGAGGUGUACGAUUUGAACUGUCCAUAUUAUAGCCAGGAGCAACCAACUAUUGGUCCAUAAUCAAGCUUGUUUCUCUUGCUCUCUCUCCUCAGCUUCUCGGAACUGAAGUCAUAUUCACAGGCAUUAUUUCGGGCAGCACUUUCAUUUCAUUCCUCUGCCACCUUCAAAAACGCCAUCCAUCCAUCCAUCCGUCCGGAAUGGAUUUCUUGGGUCCAGUUGUGCAGAUCAUUCUCUUCUUCUGGGCUCCUGUUUCUCAGCAGAUCGGUUAUCUCAAACACCUUAAUAACAAUGUAGAGACAUUGAAGAAGGAAACAGAAGAACUACAAGACAAGCGUCACCAAAUUCGAGCGGACGUCGAUGAUGCUAUAUCAGUCGGAAAGACACGGGUUCGUCUAGUGGAGAACUGGCUUGUGGACGUCACCAAUAUCGAAGCUCAAGUCGAUGAUUUAAGAACGGAAUUCGAGCAACCUAGAACGUGCUUGAACGGUUGUUGCACCAAUCACUUCUCUCGCUACAAGCUGGGCAAAAGGGUCGUUAAAAAGCUCAAAGAUGUGGAAAACCUCAAAACUAAAGGGGUCUUCGAUAAGGUGGCUGAGAGCCCUCGCCGGCCGAGGGUGUUGGAAAUGCAAACCUCGCUACCACGAGUACAGCAAAGCACAGCUGAGGAAACCAUGGAGGAGAUAUGGCAAUGCUUACACGACGAGGAGAAUGGCCUCAUUGGUGUUUAUGGGAUGGGUGGAAUAGGGAAAACCACUCUCAUGAAAGCCGUAAAUAAUAGGUUCAUCGUAACCAAUGACUUCAACGUUGUGAUUUGGGUAACUGUGUCCAAGGACCUCAACUUGGGAUUAAUCCAAGAGAAGAUUGGAAAGAAGUUGGAUAUCACGUUCUGCGAUAACGAAGAUAUGGCAGAGAAGCGGGACAGGCUGUUUACUCGGCUGCAGAAUGUGAGGUAUCUGCUCAUCUUAGAUGAUCUAUGGGAAGCAUUUAGGUUGGAUCAAGUCGGAAUUCCAAAGCCAGACAAGCAAAGUAGAUGCAAGAUCGUGAUAACCACCCGAUCCAUUGAAGUAUGUAAUGCAAUGGUGGCUGAUAAGUUUAUUAAAGUCGGAGCUCUUACGCCUGAGGAAGCGUGGAAUUUGUUCUGUGAAAGAUGUGGGGAUGUGGUUAUGUCAUCAGAGAUUCGACCGGUAGCAGAGAAGGUUGCAGAGGAGUGCAGCGGAUUACCACUUGCAAUUAAGACAGUGGGAAGGGCCAUGCAUGGCAAGGAUAAGAAAGAGAUAUGGGAGAAUGCAUUAAGGGCAUUGAAAGGAUCAUCACCUGAGGUUCCAGGGAUGGAGCGUCAAGUGUUUCUUCCUUUGAAACUUAGCUAUGAUUACUUAGAGAAUGAAGAGAUAAAAUCUUGUUUCCUGUAUUGCUCAUUGUUUCUGGAAGAUUAUGAAAUACCAAUAGAUGAGCUAGUAAGAUGUUGGGCCGUGGAGGAAGGAUUUAUAGAAAAUGUGAAUGACUUGGAAGAAGCAUCAAACAAGGGACACGACAUCCUUGAAACAAUCAAGGACGCAUGCCUCUUGGAGGAAUGGUUUGAAGGAGAUGAAGAUGUUAGGAUGCAUGAUUUGCUCCGUGACUUGGCUAUAUGGAUCACUUCACCAUCGUCGUCCAUUGAAGGCUCAAAAUUCCUUGUGAAAGCCGGGGAGGGACUAGUGCAGCCACCUGAAGAGAAUAUGUGGAGAGGGGUUGUAAGGAUUUCAUUGAUGCGCAACAAGAUAAAGCAUCUCGAUAUUACGCCAGAUUGUCCUAACUUGAUCUCCUUGUUCCUCAAUGAAAACGAUCAAUUACGUACCAUUCACAGUAAUUUCUUCGAGCUCAUGCCAAAACUACAGAUCCUUGAUCUAAGUGAUACUGGCAUUGAAUCUCUCCCGAUGUCAUUAUUGCAAUUGGUGAAUCUACGUGUGCUCAUUCUAAGAUACUGCAUGCAUCUAGUGGAGGUGCUGCCAUUGGGAAAGCUGAAGGAACUCCAAAUUCUUGAUCUCUCAAAUUCUAGACUCAGAAACUUCCCUCAAGGCAUUGCAAGCUUGGUUAAACUCAAGAGGUUGGAUAUAUCAUGGACUUCAUUCACUGCAGUUCCCUUCACUGUGAUAUACGGGCUACCUAGUCUGGAGGAAGUAAGCAUGUGUUGUUUGAAGGAAAACGUGGACGGAGCUACUUUCGGUGAGGCUGUGAACAUGAAACGCCUGAGAUCUUUACGUAUCAGUUUGUCCAAUCUUAAUGGCUUCAUCUCACAUGAUAUGUUCCAUCGAUGGUUUUCGGGCUUGACAAGUUUCCAUGUUAUGGUUAACAUUGCAAUUUACCCGCCUUUCUCUGAUAAGCAGAUAAGCAUUUGUGAAUGUGACAAAUUCCCCUGCGGGAUUGAGGGGUUGAUAAAACAUGCAUUCUCUUUAGACUUUUAUAGAAGCAAAGGUUUAACAAGUCUUUCUAAGUUCCAAGGCGAUUUAAAGAGCUUAAGACAUCUUCAAGUCAUGGAUUGCAGUGGAGUGGAAUGCAUUAUAGACUGGAGAGAGGUUGGAGAUGAUGCAUUCCAAUGUUUACAGUUUUUGGAACUCCUUGAUUUACCAAACUUGGAGAAGGUAUUCGAUGGUGGAGCACCUCCUCCGCUGAACACAAGCCUGCAAAACCUCCUAAGUAUACGGGUUCGUAAUUGUGAAAAGUUAAGGAGUCUCUUCUCUUCUAGUAUGGUAGAGCAACUACAUCAGUUAAAGGAGCUUGACAUAUCGUAUUGUUUCCAAAUGAAAGAGAUUAUAGAAGGAGACAAGCUGCCCCAUAAUUCAUUCCCAAAAUUACGCAUCCUAAAGUUGGAUGCCUUACUAGAUUUAGAAAGCAUUUGUAGCCAGCGAUUUAUGUUUAUAUCUUUGGAAGAGAUGGAAGUAAUUUCUUGUCCAAAGUUGAAGAAGCUCUCCCUCUUCAGCUCAAGCAUCCAUGAAAUAAAAGGAAAAAUAGAAGGCAAGAGAGAAUGGUGGGAAGGAUUAGAGUGGGAAGACGAGAACGCCAGGUCCCUCUGCUCCACAAUUUACAAAGAAGCUUCCUGAGAAGUAGAAGAGGAAGAUUCUUCUGAAUAACAUUACGAUAACAUCAUUGAGCUCUAAAAUCUCUGGAGAUAUUCCAGUGUCGAGAAAUGGCUGAGAAGCCGUUCACUUUUGCUGCAGGAGAU